rnacentral:lncRNA from 1 species
AUUCUGUGACCGUGUGGCAUAGAAUUUUUGGCACAGUUCACAGAGGUCCUACUUGUUAACAGCCUCUUGUUGCCCACCACUUCCAGAGAGCAAACCAUGGGAGUUUUUCAGUCCGAAGUGAGCAGCCUUGAAAUCUGUGGCCGGCUGUCUUUGAGGGCAGUUGCUGGGAAAGAAGCUAGCUGCUGUCUAGACCCCGGGGCCCACGGCGGGCUGGGGAUCAUGUGCAAUCGGUCCAGCAAUGGUCGGUUCGAGGCCCUCUCUUGGGCAUCCCUGUGGCUAUAUCCAACUUCAAGUUGGCUGCAGAUCCACUGUGUGUCCUCUUCAUUCCGGGACCCAGGCUGAUGAAAUGAAUGCUCUGGAAGGUGGUCAUUCUUGUGGCAGAGGGAAAAAAAAGAGAUCUUGGAGAAGCACCUCCUGGCUCUUAAAACUUCCACCUGGAAGUGAC